AUGAUAAUACUUACUUUGAACUUAAGACAUAGAUGCUCAAUGGUCAAAAGAAAUAUUUUAUCUUGUCCAAACUUUUUCUCAAGUUUUCUAAGAAAAAAAAUCAAUUUUUACUUAUGUGCAAUCAAUUUGCAUAUUGGUGCAAUCAAUUACAUGCUUCACAUUUUCAAAAUGUUAGCUACUGUUUCUAAGUGCAAUCAAUUUACAUGUUUGUGCAAUCGAUUUUUCUCAAUCAAUUUUUGCUACUGA